rnacentral:rRNA from 1 species
AUUGAACGCUGGCGGCAUGCCUUACACAUGCAAGUCGAACGGUAACGCGGGGCAACCUGGCGACGAGUGGCGAACGGGUGAGUAAUGUAUCGGAACGUGCCCAGUUGUGGGGAUAACUGCUCGAAAGAGCAGCUAAUACCGCAUACGACCUGAGGGUGAAAGCGGGGGAUCGCAAGACCUCGCGCAAUUGGAGCGGCCGAUAUCAGAUUAGGUAGUUGGUGGGGUAAAGGCUCACCAAGCCAACGAUCUGUAGCUGGUCUGAGAGGACGACCAGCCACACUGGGACUGAGACACGGCCCAGACUCCUACGGGAGGCAGCAGUGGGGAAUUUUGGACAAUGGACGCAAGUCUGAUCCAGCCAUGCCGCGUGCGGGAAGAAGGCCUUCGGGUUGUAAACCGCUUUUGUCAGGGAAGAAACGCUCUGGGUUAAUACCUCGGGGUAUGACGGUACCUGAAGAAUAAGCACCGGCUAGCUACGUGCCAGCAGCCGCCGUAACAC